rnacentral:tRNA from 1 species
GAGGAUGUGGCUCAAGUGGUAGCGUGCUCACCUGGUACGCGCGGGGCGCUGGGUUCGAUCCUCAGCACCACA